AGCAAUAAACCAGGAAUGAGGGGAGCCCUGGUGACAAAGAGGACACUGGAUUCUCUCUGUGGUCAAGGAGAGAUGGCAGUGAGAGGGGUAAAUUCACUCAGUUACCCAACUUCCUCUUAGGAGAGUGGCAAGGGUGACAAGCCUCACCUGGCUGAGAGUGAGGUUUGUUUGGGCCCCAUUGUCAUAGCAACAAGGGAAUGUUUGGUAACAGAGCCAGUGACUUCACAGAAGCUGGUCUUAAUUCCACAUUUCUGAAGCUCAGGGAAGAGCAGAGCCAGCCAGGAGAGAAUGUGGAGGCAGAGGAAGACAAUAGUUCCCUUGGAAGAGCUGUGACUACUAGAAAAGUACUGUCCUGUCAUAGAACUUCUGGAAAGAGGAAAAGAAUAUCACUGACCUUCAGAGACAAAUAGAUCCAAUCCUGCCUCAGUAUAUAAGACCCCCAAGUUUGGUUACUCUUUGGAAAAUCGCUGAGGUGGGGUUCCAAGAGACACUGUUUCCAGAGCUUUGACACUUGGUGGUAUAAAGUGCUUGAUUCUGGGUGGUGGAGAAAUCUUGAGCACUCUCUUGUCCUGAUUAAAGACUUGGCCUUUCUAACUACUUUGGGGCUUGUGUGUUUUCCAAAGUUGACACCUGGAACCAAACCUCCAUCUCAUUUCCUAGUCUGCAGCUUGACACUCAGGUGCCCCCAGAGUUCUGUUCUCUUCUCUGCUCACUAAGGGCAGGGGUUGUUUUCCCUUAUUGGAUGGUUAAAGUCUACGCUUAGCAAGUCCCUGUUACAUAGUAAGUACCCAAUAAAUAUCACAACUCUGUCUAUCUGUCUGUCUUU
rnacentral:lncRNA from 1 species